GACGAACGCUGGCGGCGUGCUUAACACAUGCAAGUCGAACGGAAAGGCCCUGCUUUUGUGGGGUGCUCGAGUGGCGAACGGGUGAGUAACACGUGAGUAACCUGCCCUUGACUUUGGGAUAACUUCAGGAAACUGGGGCUAAUACCGGAUAGGAGCUCCUGCUGCAUGGUGGGGGUUGGAAAGUUUCGGCGGUUGGGGAUGGACUCGCGGCUUAUCAGCUUGUUGGUGGGGUAGUGGCUUACCAAGGCUUUGACGGGUAGCCGGCCUGAGAGGGUGACCGGCCACAUUGGGACUGAGAUACGGCCCAGACUCCUACGGGAGGCAGCAGUGGGGAAUAUUGCACAAUGGGCGGAAGCCUGAUGCAGCAACGCCGCGUGCGGGAUGACGGCCUUCGGGUUGUAAACCGCUUUCGCCUGUGACGAAGCGUGAGUGACGGUAAUGGGUAAAGAAGCACCGGCUAACUACGUGCCAGCAGCCGCGGUGAUACGUAGGGUGCGAGCGUUGUCCGGAUUUAUUGGGCGUAAAGGGCUCGUAGGUGGUUGAUCGCGUCGGAAGUGUAAUCUUGGGGCUUAACCCUGAGCGUGCUUUCGAUACGGGUUGACUUGAGGAAGGUAGGGGAGAAUGGAAUUCCUGGUGGAGCGGUGGAAUGCGCAGAUAUCAGGAGGAACACCAGUGGCGAAGGCGGUUCUCUGGGCCUUUCCUGACGCUGAGGAGCGAGAGCGUGGGGAGCGAACAGGCUUAGAUACCCUGGUAGUCCACGCUGUAAGCGGUGGGUACUAGGUGUGGGGUCCAUUCCACGGGUUCCGUGCCGUAGCUAACGCUUUAAGUACCCCGCCUGGGGAGUACGGCCGCAAGGCUAAAACUCAAAGGAAUUGACGGGGCCCCGCACAAGCGGCGGAGCAUGCGGAUUAAUUCGAUGCAACGCGUAGAACCUUACCUGGGUUUGACAUGGAUCGGGAGUGCUCAGAGAUGGGUGUGCCUCUUUUGGGGUCGGUUCACAGGUGGUGCAUGCCUGUCGUCAGCUCGUGUCGUGAGAUGUUGGGUUAAGUCCCGCAACGAGCGCAACCCUUGUUCACUGUUGCCAGCACGUUAUGGUGGGGACUCAGUGGAGACCGCCGGGGUCAACUCGGAGGAAGGUGGGGAUGACGUCAAGUCCUCAUGCCCCUUAUGUCCAGGGCUUCACGCAUGCUACAAUGGCUGGUACAGAGAGUGGCGAGCCUGUGAGGGUGAGCGAAUCUCGGAAAGCCGGUCUCAGUUCGGAUUGGGGUCUGCAACUCGACCUCAUGAAGUCGGAGUCGCUAGUAAUCGCAGAUCAGCAACGCUGCGGUGAAUACGUUCCCGGGGCU
rnacentral:rRNA from 1 species